GUAGUCCUGGCCGAGUGGUUAAGGUGGUGGACUAGAAAUCCAUUGGGAUUUUCCCGCGUACGUUCGAAUACUACAGACUACG
rnacentral:tRNA from 1 species